GUGAACGCUGGCGGUAGGCCUAACACAUGCAAGUCGAACGGCAGCACAGAGGAGCUUGCUCCUUGGGUGGCGAGUGGCGGACGGGUGAGGAAUACAUCGGAAUCUACUCUUUCGUGGGGGAUAACGUAGGGAAACUUACGCUAAUACCGCAUACGACCUUCGGGUGAAAGCAGGGGAUCGCAAGACCUUGCACGAUUGAAUGAGCCGAUGUCGGAUUAGCUAGUUGGCGGGGUAAAGGCCCACCAAGGCGACGAUCCGUAGCUGGUCUGGGAGGAUGAUCAGCCAGAGUGGAACUGAGCGACGGUCCAGACUCCUAGGGGAGGCAGCAGUGGGGAAUAUUGGACAAUGGGCGCAAGCCUGAUCCAGCCAUACCGCGUGGGUGAAGAAGGCCUUCGGGUUGUAAAGCCCUUUUGUUGGGAAAGAAAAGCACACGGUUAAUACCCGAGUGUUCUGACGGUACCCAAAGAAUAAGCACCGGCUAACUUCGUGCCAGCAGCCGCCGUAA
rnacentral:rRNA from 1 species